rnacentral:rRNA from 1 species
UGCGUAGGCGGCUUUUUAAGUCAGUGGUGAAAUCUUGCCGCUUAACGGUAAAAUUGCCAUUGAUACUGAAGAGCUUGAGUCCAGUUGAGGUAAGCGGAAUGUGUAGUGUAGCGGUGAAAUGCUUAGAUAUUACACAGAACACCAAUUGCGAAGGCAGCUUACUAAACUGUCACUGACGCUGAUGCACGAAAGCGUGGGGAGCGAACAGGAUUAGAUACCCUGGUAGUCCACGCCGUAAACGAUGCUCACUCGCUGUUUGCGAUACACAGCAAGCGGCCAAGCGAAAGCAUUAAGUGAGCCACCGUGGGGAGUACGAUCGCAAGGUUGAA